UACGGGGGGGGGCAAGCGUUGUUCGGAAUUACUGGGCGUAAAGGGCUCGUAGGCGGCCAACUAAGUCAGACGUGAAAUCCCUCGGCUUAACCGGGGAACUGCGUCUGAUACUGGAUGGCUUGAAUCCGGGAGAGGGAUGCGGAAUUCCAGGUGUAGCGGUGAAAUGCGUAGAUAUCUGGAGGAACACCGGUGGCGAAGGCGGCAUCCUGGACCGGCAUUGACGCUGAGGAGCGAAAGCCAGGGGGAGCAAACGGGG
rnacentral:rRNA from 1 species